rnacentral:rRNA from 1 species
AGCAGCAGCCACGGGAAUACAGAGGGUGCGAGCGUUAAUCGGAUUUACUGGGCGUAAAGCGUGCGUAGGCGGCUUUUUAAGUCGGAUGUGAAAUCCCUGAGCUUAACUUAGGAAUUGCAUUCGAUACUGGGAAGCUAGAGUAUGGGAGAGGAUGGUAGAAUUCCAGGUGUAGCGGUGAAAUGCGUAGAGAUCUGUAGGAAUACCGAUGGCGAAGGCAGCCAUCUGGCCUAAUACUGACGCUGAGGUACGAAAGCAUGGGGAGCAAACAGGAUUAGAGACCCCAGUAGUCCCUGUCUCUUAUAC